UACCAGACUCCUACGGGAGGCAGCAGUGGGGAAUAUUGGGCAAUGGGCGCAAGCCUGACCCAGCAAUGCCGCGUGAAGGAAGAAGGCCUUCGGGUUGUAAACUUCUUUUAUCAGGGACGAAGGAUGUGACGGUACCUGAUGAAUAAGCUCCGGCUAACUACGUGCCAGCAGCCGCGGUAAUACGUAGGGAGCGAGCGUUGUCCGGAUUUACUGGGUGUAAAGGGUGCGUAGGCGGCUUGGCAAGUCAGUAGUGAAAUCCAUGGGCUUAACCCAUGAACUGCUAUUGAAACUGCCGAGCUUGAGUGAAGUAGAGGUAGGCGGAAUUCCCGGUGUAGCGGUGAAAUGCGUAGAGAUCGGGAGGAACACCAGUGGCGAAGGCGGCCUACUGGGCUUUAACUGACGCUGAGGCACGAAAGCGUGGGUAGCAAACAGGAUUAGAUACCCGUGUAA
rnacentral:rRNA from 1 species